GACGAACGCUGGCGGCGUGCCUAAUACAUGCAAGUCGAACGCAGUGGGGACGGGUGAGUAACACGUGGGUAACCUCCCAUCAGAGGGGAUAACACUUGGAAACAGGUGCUAAACCGAUACUGAUGGAUGGACCCGCGGUGCAUUAGCUAGUUGGUGAGGGAACGGCUCACCAAGGCCACGAUGCAUAGCCUGCCCUGGAGGGUGAACGGGCAAAACGGGAAUGAGAAACGGGCCAGAAUCCCGAGGGAGGGAGCAGGAGGGAAACAUCGGCAAUGGGCGAAAGUCUGACCGAGCAACGCCGCGUGAGAGAAGAAGGUUUUCGGAUCGUAAAACUCUGUUGUUAGAGAAGCGGUAUCUAACCAGAAAGCCACGGCUAACUACGUGCCAGCAGCCGCGGUAAAUCC
rnacentral:rRNA from 1 species